rnacentral:lncRNA from 1 species
AUGGGGGUCACUGAGACCCCCCCUUGCACGCCCACCCUCCCCAUGGCAAGGAGCCUGCACAGGCAGGGAGCACAGGUACAGACAGGUACGAGGCCAAUCUCAGCAUGGGUGCAGCGUGAGGACCUCCGGGCACAGCACAGGGACGAUGCUCGGACCAGCCCCUCCGCACCCUCCCCAUGCACACCUUGGCAAAACCCCAGGGUUUUGCAAAGUUGUAGGGCUGGGGCAGAAAUCCCACGGGAAGAGCUGGUCCUGCCAGCGCCUGGGCUCCCAAACCUUCCCGUGGGGUUUCUGUGUGACCUGGAAACGCAGCGGGUAGCAGCAGAGCCACCACGGCCACCGCCUGCUCCGGGCUUUGGCAGCGAGGUGCAGCCCCGAGCCCCAAGUUUUGCACCGUGUCAGGGCUCAGCCUGCAAAAAAAAAAAAACUCAAUCCUCUCCCCCAGGCUUCUUCCUGAAAAAGCAAAAUGAAAAAAAAGCCUUUGGGGUUUCUUUGCCCUGUGCUCCCUUGCGAUCUCUGUGCUGUGAGGCCCUGAACAAGAGCCAAGCUCCUCCGCAGAGGGCACGGCGCCAGGAGCUGGGGCUUCACGGCGAUCACCACGGGGCACAGCAGCGAGUGGGCACUCCGGGAAUCUGCAGCCUCGCAGGGCUCCAAACCAAAAGCUGUUGCAGAGCAACCCAGCUCCGAGGUGCUGGUGCAAAAAGCAGCUCUGCCAGUGAUUUCUUGCACCUUGGGACUGGAAAAGUCUCUGGGGAGCUCAGGGGGGUUCCUGCUGCUCAGGGACUCCGUCCUCUGCCUGCUGCUGCUCCCUUUGGUGCCAUUUUGGGGGAGGCAAUGCAGGAAUCCCAGCUAUUCCCCGGGGUGGGGAAUGCGCAGCGGGCGCCUGGCGUGCCCUGCAAGCAGACGAGGAGGAGAAAAGGAGCCUUGUGCCACAGAGGGGACGGUGACACGGCUCGGGGUGCACGCUCACCCCCUGGCCCUGCACCCUGCGGGGUGCAGGAGCUUUGGAGAGGGGCUGGAGGCACCGACCGAGGUGUCCCGACCUCUGCAAACAUCCCCACAGCACCUCCGCCGCCGCCUUCCCCUGCAGACAAAACACCGCCCGGUCAAUGGGCAGCGCACGUGGGAUGCCCGGCGUGUCACGGCAUGAAGGAAAGCAAACAAGGGGAGCAAACAGCUCUUGCUUUCUCCUCCUGCAGCUCCUUGGCCAAGAGGCAGAGUCAGCACCCCGACGGCACGCACCCGACGCCUGCUUGGGGAAAAAAACAGCCCGGCUGGGGCAGAGCACGAUGGUUUCCUGUGGACGGGGGGGACCCAUGGUCCACCACCCACCCUGGGAAAAAAUAA